ensembl:lncRNA
AAAACGGAGCUUCGGAGCUGCAGCGCUGCCAAGACCCCAGCACUGCCAGGCCAGAGCCGCGUCGGAGAGGAGGGUGGAUAAUCCAAGACCAAUCUCACCCGAGAUGGCUUAGCCUAAGAGCUGCGCUGCAUUCCUUCACCGGGCUGGCUGGUUUUAAGACAUUUGUCAUUCCCUGGCACGAUCGUGGAAAAGAAUAAUGCGCAUUGGUUGGAAUAAUGUGUAGUGAUUGGGACACGCUGGACUGGUCCCAGGUACUGUACGUUCUCAGACAGAGCGCGCACCCAUCCUUGGUUAUUUUUAAAUCCGCUGACAUGAACCACAAGCGAGGUUUCUCCUUAAGUCUGUUGAUAAAUGUGCAGUAAAUGGAAGAAACGCUUGUAGUUUCUAAAAGGGUUUACCUAAUACCCUAAUACUAUAUGUUGGGGACACAAAGGGUAGAUGUUCAAUCAAACUCAGGACAGCCACCCUUUCAGAAAGCAGAUCACAGAAGCAAAGAUGGCUGCUGUGAGGUUUGCACUUGGACCCCUGGCUCAUGACUUUUUUUAUUAGAUGGGCUACUGUCGGCGCCAGCACCGACACGGUACCGAGAAUCGGGCGAAAGCCUGAGGGAUGAAAGAAGCACACACACACAGGUUAUUCGUGUCAAGCCAGAAGAGGAAGAGAGCUUCUGGUUUCUUUAUUGACCAAACUAUAUAUCCAAAGAACACCACUUAGCAGUGCUCUCUGCAAUGAACAUGUGAUGUUUACAUAAGAAAACAACUCUCGUGCUGGCUUCGGCAGCACAUAUACUAAAACUGGAACGAUACAGAGAAGACCAGCAUGGCCCCUGCGCAAGGAUGACACGAAAUUCGUGAAGCGCUCCUUAUUUUUGAAGGCAGAGAUAUGGCAAACAGGAAUGGCGAUUUGGGGUACAUGGGGUGUUCAGCAAAGACCAAAGAUGAAGUGAGAGAGGUUUUUGAGGUGGCCACGCAAGCUAGAUGCAGGAAGAGAAAGUCUGAGCGCCUCAUCUUGAAAAGCCUCGUGACACGCAGCCUCACGCGGUUAAUUUGAAGUGCUCUUUAUUAAUCUUAGUGUGUGAUAACUGGCCUUUUCAUGUAUCUGUAAUUUACCUAAGACGACAAAUGAGAAGUCAUCUUGCUACUAGUAUUUAGAAGCCAAUCCUGAUUAUUAAUAAUAUCCAACCUGUCUGACCAGCCAGGGUCCUUCCAUCACUGCUCUAACACCCUCUCUGCACUCCACCUGACACCAGGUGCUAAUUCAAAGAAUUUUAACUUCUUCCUUCUUUCUAGAAAGAGAAACAGUUGGUAACUUUCGUGAACUAGGCUGUAACUACUUUAUAACUAACAUGUCUGUCAGCUGCAAGGAACUCUGGUGAGUCGCUACCUCAGAGCUUUACUCCUUAACAGAUUCCAUUGGCAGAGCCCUGGGGUGAGCACCCAGUGUUUGGAAACUUGAUCAGCCAGAAAGGCCCAAGUUCACGCAGCUGUGACAGAGUUACAGUUCUGAACAGUGAACUCCAUCUGCUGGCUGCUUUUCUGGAUUGUCUACAAGUGAGCACAGUUGCUAAUGUCUGUCUUUCCUGCAUUGAGAUGAUGAGAUUUUACUGCUGUGGCAUCAGAAAUGCAGAAGAUACUCACCCCUAAGAAGAAGAAUGUUCAGGAUUGGGGUAAGCUUUUGUAUCCGUCUCUGUUGCCAAAGGGAAUACAUUAGUAGAUGUUAAUGAGAAGAGACAGCAUGUAGUUAAAGGCAGAUUAAACUGUGUUGAGGUGUACUUGGGUUAAAUGCUCAAAGACUAAAUCGCUUACUGUGCAGGAAACUUAAAGUGUAACUUUAGAAUAGAAAAGGAUAUCAAGAACACAAAACACAUCGAGAACGUUUUUUAGGCAGAAGGUUGUAGUGUAUCAGAAGUACAAGGGCCCACCUGAAGGAUUUAUAAUGGCUGAAGUUAAAAACAUUUUAACAACAAAACAAAGAACAACAUUAUAUAAAUUAACAAUAUCCAUGUGUCUGUAUGGUGCAAACAAAUAAUUAAGUACAUGUGUAAAUAAGAAAAACCAGCUUUCUCUCAAAGGAGUAAUACAACAGGAAGUGUAGAUGAAAAUCACCAUUAGUCAAACGUGGAUACUGCGAUCAGUGGCUGCAAGGGUGAGAAGAAAUAUGUAUGCAUGGUUGGUAGUAUGCCUCAUCCCUGGGCAU